CCCCUCGUGGUGUAGUGGUCAGCACGCUCGGCGGGUAUUCGAGAGGUCCGUGGUUCGAGUCCUGGCGAGGGAA
rnacentral:tRNA from 1 species